rnacentral:rRNA from 1 species
UACGUAGGGGGCAAGCGUUGUCCGGAAUUAUUGGGCGUAAAGAGCGUGUAGGCGGCCAGAUAAGUCCGCUGUGAAAUCUCGAGGCUCAACUUCGAGCUGUCGGUGGAAACUAUCUGGCUAGAGUCCGGAAGAGGAGAAUGGAAUUCCUGGUGUAGCGGUGAAAUGCGCAGAUAUCAGGAAGAACACCCGUGGCGAAGGCGGUUCUCUGGGCCUUACCUGACGCUGAGACGCGAAAGCGUGGGGAGCGAACCGG